rnacentral:misc_RNA from 1 species
UCUCCGUUGGUGAACCAGCGGAGGGAUCAUUACCAAAUUUACAACUCCCAAACCCCUGUGAACAUACCAUUUGUUGCCUCGGCGGUGCCUGCUUCGGCAGCCCGCCAGAGGACCCAAACCCUUGAUUUUAUACAGUAUCUUCUGAGUAAAUGAUUAAAUAAAUCAAAACUUUCAACAACGGAUCUCUUGGUUCUG